rnacentral:rRNA from 1 species
UGGGGAAUAUUGCACAAUGGGCGAAAGCCUGAUGCAGCAACGCUGCGUGAGUGAUGAAGGUCUUCGGAUUGUAAAGCUCUGUCUUUUGGGACGAUAAUGACGGUACCAAAGGAGGAAGCCACGGCUAACUACGUGCCAGCAGCCGCGGUAAUACGUAGGUGGCGAGCGUUGUCCGGAUUUACUGGGCGUAAAGGGUGCGUAGGCGGAUGUUUAAGUGAGAUGUGAAAUACCCGGGCUUAACUUGGGUGCUGCAUUUCAAACUGGAUAUCUAGAGUGCAGGAGAGGAGAAUGGAAUUCCUAGUGUAGCGGUGAAAUGCGUAGAGAUUAGGAAGAACACCAGUGGCGAAGGCGAUUCUCUGGACUGUAACUGACGCUGAGGCACGAAAGCGUGGGUAGCAAACAGGAUUAGAUACCCUGGUA